GCAACCUGAAGAAUCAUGCCUAAUUUUAUCAAAUAUAUAAAGGAAAGUUCUUCACUUCCAUCAUGUUCCAGUACUUGUAUCACCCUACAACAGUAAUGGCCGACUUCCUCUGCCUGAGGGGAGCUGGAUCCCCACCUGCUCUGGAGCAUCUGAUACUGUAACUACAAUGUCUGUCAGCCCCAUGGAAUAUGAUCUUUAAAAGAGCCUAUAGAUCAAAAUCUCCAAAGUUUACUUGCAGUCUUGUCCAGAGAGCUCACAUGAUCAGACCUGCCGCAGAACUGCAUCAUGUGCCUUCAGACCAUGAGCAUCACCAGCUUGUAUUGGAAGAAAUCCAGAAAAAGCUCAGACUAGCUCAGCAAGCAGUACAAAACUUUCAGGUUACUAGUCUCCUUCCCACAGGGCUUGGAAUUCCCAGAUGAUUCAAGGGAAUCUUCCAUGAAAAGAAAAAAACAAAUGUUCCAGUGUCACCAGACAAUCAGGAGAAAGGCUCUUGGGAUAUAAGCAACACAUACCAACUCAGUAUGAAAUAAAAUUCUAUGUAUCUCAUCUCACUAAGAACUCCAUCUAGUGUCUAUCUUCCAUUUCCAGCCAUUUCAAAUGCAUUAUAAGAGAGAAGAUUUCAUUCCUGAAACCUGACUUCUGAAAGCAAUGAAUAAGUGACUGGCUAAAAGAAAAGUUGUGCCGUCGAGUUGGUGUCGACUCCUGGCAACCACAGAGCCAUUAGGUGGCAAGUGACUGACUACCCAUGCUUUAUUUUUCUAUAAAGGUCACUGCAGUGCUUGAAUUACAGAAAGAUCAUGCCCUUUGGCUUUUACGCCAACCCUUUAGAUACUAUUUUUAGAAGACGAGAAGGGGCGCAUAAUUUGACUUCCCCAAAAUGUAGAAAGGAUUUGGGGCUUGCGGAUUUCUUGGAGAAUCCUUCUAUUUUGCCCCCCAUAAUUUGACAACAGUCCUCUUUUCACUUUCAACCUCAUUUCAUUCCUUCAUUCAGCUAGCCAGACCUUUGCUCUUUGUAUUCAUGAAGCUUAAAAACUCAACAACAGAAAUCUGUUCAGUGUUUCACUGCUUACUGUGCAAAGUGGCAUCUUUUGGUGAUUCUUUUCAUUUAGCAGGGGGAGAAUAACUGGCCUAUCCACCCCGAGCACAGUACCUCCAGUGAUUGUUGCUGGUGUCUAUCUUAUGUUUCUUUUUAGAUUGUGAGCCCUUUGGGGACAGGAAUCCAUCUUAUUUAUUUAUUCAUUCAUUUAUUGAUUUAUUAUUUCUCUAUGUAAACCGCUUUGGAAACUUUUGUUGAAAAGCAGUAUAAGUAUUUGUUGUUGUUUGUUUGGUCUCCAUCCCACAAUGCAAAGACCCCUAUUUAUUAGAAAAGUAGUAUUGAAAAGUGGUGGGUUAAUCACAGAAAGCAAGAAUUCACUAACAGGUGGAACUCUGGAAAUUAUGAAAGAUCUCUGCUGACCAUCUAACCUGUAAGUGAGAUCCUGCUGGAAAAGACAAUGGAAGUCUGCAAGAGUGUGUGGAUACGGAAUAAGCCCUUGCCUAGAACUUACUUGCAAGCUUGUUUCAAAGCACUGUGUUUUGGUGCAUGGAAGAGCCUUUGUGACAGAAACCAUUUAGGAGAAACUGGGCAGUAAAAGGAUAUCACACUAGAAGGAAACAUCAGAAGAAACAGCAUCUACCAAGACCCUGAUAUUCAGUCCUUGUCCUUACAUGAUACAGGUGUAGAAAGAGCCACCAGAAACUGUCCAGCAAAAUAGCUUGGAUGCAUGGAGCAUUGAGAAAUUGGCGCAGCAUCUUUAUAGACCAGUUUGUCUGUAAAGAAAUAAAAGUGACAUUGUGAUUUGAAUGUUAAAAAUAAAAAAAUGGAAAUGCUUUU